CAGUCGCCGCGGGAAUACGUAGGUGGCAAGCGUUGUCCGGAAUUAUUAGGCGUAAAGGGCUCGCAGGCGGUUUCUUAAGUCUGAUGUGAAAGCCCCCGGCUCAACCGGGGAGGGUCAUUGGAAACUGGGAAACUUGAGUGCAGAAGAGGAGAGUGGAAUUCCACGUGUAGCGGUGAAAUGCGUAGAGAUGUGGAGGAACACCAGUGGCGAAGGCGACUCUCUGGUCUGUAACUGACGCUGAGGAGCGAAAGCGUGGGGAGCGAACAGGAUUAGAUACCCCAGUAGUCCCUGUCUCUUAUAC
rnacentral:rRNA from 1 species